rnacentral:lncRNA from 1 species
GUGCUUGGGUCCUCUUCCAUGCUGUGGGAGCUUUGUUCUUUCGCUCUUUGCGGUAAAUCUUGCCGCUGCUCACUCUUUGGGUCCAUGCUGCCUUUAAGAGUUGUAACACUGACCGCGAGGGUCCGUGGCUACCUUCUUGAAGUCAGUGAGACCAAGAACCCACCAAUUCCGGACACAUUUUGGUGACCCAAAUGGGACCAUCACCUAUCGCCAAGUGCUGUACCUCUUCAGCAAGGAAAAGCUUCUAUCCACCUUGAGAAUAAGUCAACAAGAUAAACUGUUAAAGAAAACGUGGCACAUAUACACCAUGGAAUACUAUGCAGCCAUAAAAAAGAAUGAGUUCAUGUCCUUUGGACAUGGAUGAAGCUGGAAACCAUCAUUCUCAGCAAACUAACACAGGAACGGAAAACCAAACACCACAUGUUCUCACCUGUGAGAGUUAAACAAGUUAAACAAUGAGAACACAUGUACACAAGGAGGGGAACAUCACACACC